AACCAGGGCUGGCUUCCAUUUCACUCAAAGAGGCCUCCACUCUCCCACCCCCGCUCUCCCCAUUCAUCACCGAGCCCCGUCAGUAAGGUGGUAACUGGUUUGGACUGGGAUGGCUGCCUAAGAGCAUUCAGGAGCCAAGUGCCACAUGUUAUAAAGGGGAGACUGAUGAACUAAGGUACCUCAAGCCCAAGUGCCCUGCUGGUGUGAUGUGCAAUGAGACAAGAGUGUGACACGCCACUGCGACUGCCUGGAAAGGGAGUCACUCAUCUCCUGGGAGAAAUCAAGGCAGGAUUCAGAUCUAUCAACUCGAGUGUGAACUCUUCCUGAUAGGCAGAUAAUCCACAGCUCUGAACACAAAUACCAGCAAGCAAG